AUUGAACGCUGGCGGCAGGCCUAACACAUGCAAGUCGAGCGGAUGAAGGGAGCUUGCUCCUGGAUUCAGCGGCGGACGGGUGAGUAAUGCCUAGGAAUCUGCCUGGUAGUGGGGGAUAACGUCCGGAAACGGGCGCUAAUACCGCAUACGUCCUGAGGGAGAAAGUGGGGGAUCUUCGGACCUCACGCUAUCAGAUGAGCCUAGGUCGGAUUAGCUAGUUGGUGGGGUAAAGGCCUACCAAGGCGACGAUCCGUAACUGGUCUGAGAGGAUGAUCAGUCACACUGGAACUGAGACACGGUCCAGACUCCUACGGGAGGCAGCAGUGGGGAAUAUUGGGCAAUGGGCGAAAGCCUGACGCAGCAAUGCCGCGUGUGUGAAGAAGGUCUUCGGAUUGUAAAGCACUUUAAGUUGGGAAGAACAGAAGUAAAUUAAAACCUGGCUGUUUUGACGUUACCAAAAGAAUAAGCCCCGGCUAACUUCGUG
rnacentral:rRNA from 1 species